rnacentral:rRNA from 1 species
GGCUCAGGAUGAACGCUAGCGGCAGGCCUAAUACAUGCAAGUCGGACGGGAUUGAGGAGCUUGCUCUUCAUGAGAGUGGCGCACGGGUGCGUAACACGUAUGUAACCUACCCAUAUCAGGGGGAUAGCCUCUCGAAAGAGAGAUUAAGCCCGCAUAAAAUCACACACUGGCAUCAGUAAAUGAUCAAAUAUUUAUAGGAUAUGGAUGGGCAUGCGGAACAUUAGCUAGUUGGUAAGGUAACGGCUUACCAAGGCUACGAUGUUUAGGGGAUCUGAGAGGAUGACCCCCCACACUGGUACUGAGACACGGACCAGACUCCUACGGGAGGCAGCAGUAAGGAAUAUUGGUCGAUGGGCGCAAGCCUGAACCAGCCAUGCCGCGUGCAGGAAGACGGCCCUACGGGUUGUAAACUGCUUUUAUACCGGAAUAAACCUUUCUACGUGUAGAGAGCUGAAUGUACGGUAAGAAUAAGGAUCGGCUAACUCCGUGCCAGCAGCCGCGGUAAUACGGAGGAUCCAAGCGUUAUCCGGAUUUAUUGGGUUUAAAGGGUGCGUAGGCGGCCUAUUAAGUCAGGGGUGAAAGACGGUAGCUUAACUAUCGCAGUGCCUUUGAUACUGAUGGGCUUGAAUGUACUUGAGGUAGGCGGAAUGUGACAAGUAGCGGUGAAAUGCAUAGAUAUGUCACAGAACGCCAAUUGCGAAGGCAGCUUACUAAAGUAUGAUUGACGCUGAGGCACGAAAGCGUGGGGAUCAAACAGGAUUAGAUACCCUGGUAGUCCACGCCCUAAACGAUGAACACUCGAUGUUGGCGAUAUACGGUCAGCGUCUAAGCGAAAGCGUUAAGUGUUCCACCUGGGGAGUACGCCCGCAAGGGUGAAAC